rnacentral:rRNA from 1 species
GACGAACCGUGCAAACGUUGUUCGGAAUCACUGGGCUUAAAGGGCGCGUAGGCGGGCUCGCCAGUCUGUGGUGAAAGCCCCCGGCUUAACCGGGGAAGUGCCGUGGAUACUGCGAGUCUCGAGGAGGGUAGGGGCAUCUGGAACGCUGGGUGGAGCGGUGAAAUGCGUUGAUAUCCAGCGGAACUCCGGUGGCGAAGGCGAGGUGCUGGACCCUUUCUGACGCUGAUGCGCGAAAGCCAGGGGAGCAAACGGG